rnacentral:rRNA from 1 species
GAUGAACGCUGGCGGCGUGCCUAAUACAUGCAAGUCGAGCGAACAGACGAGGAGCUUGCUCCUCUGACGUUAGCGGCGCACGGGUGAGUAACACGUGGAUAACCCACCUAUCAGACUGGGAUAACUUCGGGAAACCGGCGCUAAUACCGGAUAAUAUCUUGAACCGCAUGGUUCAAUAGUGAAAGACGGUUUUGCUGUCACUUAUAGAUGGAUCGCAGCCGCAUUAGCUGGUUGGUAGGGUAACGGCUUACCACGGCAACGAUGCGUAGCCGACGGUAGAGGGUGAUAGGCCACACUGGAACGGAGACGCGGACCAGACGCCUACGGGAGGGAGCAGUAGGGAACGGUCCGCAAUGGGCGAAAGUCUGACGGAGCAACGCCGCGUGAGUGAUGGAGGUCUUCGGAUCGUAAAACUCUGUUAUUAGGGAAGAACAAAUGUGUAAGUAACUAUGCACGGCUUGACGGUACCUAAUCAGAAAGCCACGGCUAACUACGUG